rnacentral:lncRNA from 1 species
GUCGGCCCGGAGCAGCUCCCACUCUUGGGCUGGGCUUCCCACUAUUGCAACAGACUACCUGAUGCUGUGUGGGCCUCCUGGCCUGGUGCUGGGCUGGGCACUAUUCCUGGGCCCCGGUGAGGUCAAGGGCUGCUCCUCCCUGUGCUCUCAGGUGGCACCUCCCUGGACCCAGGCUCCCUCUCCUGAUUUUGUCCACCCAGCCUCAGCUGCACAUUGGAGGGAAGCCCUCUGCAGACUUCAGUGCUCCCUCUGUGCAGCCCCUGCUCUCUAGCAGUCUGCCCUAGAGCCUUGGCCCCAUCUCCACCUCUGCGGACUCUGGGCUCCGCCUGUGCCUCCUCCCUCACCAGGGCCCAGAACCUGCUGCAGGCCGUAAACUGAGCCUCCCCCAGGGCCUGCUGUCUUUAGGUGCCUGCAGUCUAAUGUCUAACAUGUGUCUCGUACGUUUUAAACUUCUUAGUUGUUUUAGUGGAGAGUAGCUCUGGCCCCUGUUAGUUCAUCUUGGCUGGAAACAGGGAUUCUGAUGUUUGCUAUCCAAGGCUUCCUUGGGAGGCCACUAGUCAGUGCAGCCGUCAGUCUCCUCCGCCCUGCAUUUCAGGUCCUGUAACAAUAAAGCUAUUCACAUAACCACCUCAGGUCUGGCCAAGAGAGUGGCGUGAUCACUGAUGUGCCUCGGGGCCUCAUAUAACUUUAAUCGGAAGGGGAGCAUCAAACAGAGGCUGAGAAAUAGCUCUCGCUGCCAAACAGGCUCUUUACCUGGAGGAGAAACAAAGGAGGGCUGGGGAAGAGCCAAGGGUUUCCACCGUUUCUGAAAAGGCAAGAAGAGCGGCGCGAAUGUCUGUCCAGGCGCUGUGGGAGCCGCCCACGUGGCCCAGGUGUCCUCUGUCACGUGGCCCAAGAUGAAGAGGCGCUCUCCACCCUGGUCCAACCCCUCAGCUGCUCCAGCUUCCGGCCCACGCCCUC